rnacentral:rRNA from 1 species
ACGCAAUAGAUACCCCGGUAGUCCACGCCGUAAACGAUGAGUGCUAAGUGUUAGAGGGUUUCCGCCCUUUAGUGCUGCAGCUAAACGCAUUAAGCACUCCGCCUGGGGAGUACGGUCGCAAGACUGAAACUCAAAGGAAUUGACGGGGGCCCGCACAAGCGGUGGAGCAUGUGGUUUAAUUCGAAGCAACGCGAAGAACCUUACCAGGUCUUGACAUCCUCUGACAACUCUAGAGAUAGAGCGUUCCCCUUCGGGGGACAGAGUGACAGGUGGUGCAUGGUUGUCGUCAGCUCGUGUCGUGAGAUGUUGGGUUAAGUCCCGCAACGAGCGCAACCCUUGAUCUUAGUUGCCAGCAUUUAGUUGGGCACUCUAAGGUGACUGCCGGUGACAAACCGGAGGAAGGUGGGGAUGACGUCAAAUCAUCAUGCCCCUUAUGACCUGGGCUACACACGUGCUACAAUGGAUGGUACAAAGGGCUGCAAGACCGCGAGGUCAAGCCAAUCCCAUAAAACCCAUUCUCAGUUCGGAUUGUA